GAUGAAGAACGCAGCGAAAUGCGAUAAGUAAUGUGAAUUGCAGAAUUCAGUGAAUCAUCGAAUCUUUGAACGCACAUUGCGCCCGCCAGUAUUCUGGCGGGCAUGCCUGUUCGAGCGUCAUUUCAACCAUCAAGCCCUGCUUGCGUUGGGGUCCUGCGGCUGCCCGCAGGCCCUGAAAACCAGUGGCGGGCUCGCUAGUCACACCGAGCGCAGUAAUACAUCUCGCUUUGGGCGUGCGGCGGGUUCUUGCCGUUAACACCCCCUUUUUACCAAGGUUGACCUCGGAUCAGGUAGGAAUACCCGCUGAACUUAAGCAUAUCAAUAAGCGGAGGA
rnacentral:misc_RNA from 1 species